rnacentral:rRNA from 1 species
GGGUUGUGAGGUUAAGCGACUAAGCGUACACGGUGGAUGCCCCGGCAGUCAGAGGCGAUGAAGGGCGUGCUAAUCUGCGAUAAGCGCCGGUAAGGUGAUAUGAACCGUUAUAACCGGCGAUACCCGAAUGGGGAAACCCAGUGUGAUUCGUCACACUAUCAUUAACUGAAUCCAUAGGUUAAUGAGGCGAACCGGGGGAACUGAAACAUCUAAGUACCCCGAGGAAAAGAAAUCAACCGAGAUUCCCCCAGUAGCGGCGAGCGAACGGGGAGGAGCCCAGAGCCUGAAUCAGCAUGUGUGUUAGUGGAAGCGUCUGGAAAGGCGCGCGAUACAGGGUGACAGCCCCGUACACAAAAGCGCAUGUGCUGUGAGCUCGAUGAGUAGGGCGGGACACGUGGUAUCCUGUCUGAAUAUGGGGGGACCAUCCUCCAAGGCUAAAUACUCCUGACUGACCGAUAGUGAACCAGUACCGUGAGGGAAAGGCGAAAAGAACCCCGGCGAGGGGAGUGAAAAAGAACCUGAAACCGUGUACGUACAAGCAGUGGGAGCACCCUUUGGGUGUGACUGCGUACCUUUUGUAUAAUGGGUCAGCGACUUAUAUUCUGUAGCAAGGUUAACCGAAUAGGGGAGCCGGAGGGAAACCGAGUCUUAAUUGGGCGUUAAGUUGCAGGGUAUAGACCCGAAACCCGGUGAUCUAGCCAUGGGCAGGUUGAAGGUUGGGUAACACUAACUGGAGGACCGAACCGACUAAUGUUGAAAAAUUAGCGGAUGACCUGUGGCUGGGGGUGAAAGGCCAAUCAAACCGGGAGAUAGCUGGUUCUCCCCGAAAGCUAUUUAGGUAGCGCCUCGUGAAUUCAUCUCCGGGGGUAGAGCACUGUUUCGGCUAGGGGCCAUCCCGGCUUACCAACCCGAUGCAAACUGCGAAUACCGGAGAAUGUUAUCACGGGAGACACACGGCGGGUGCUAACGUCCGUCGUGAAGAGGGAAACAACCCAGACCGCCAGCUAAGGUCCCAAAGUCAUGGUUAAGUGGGAAACGAUGUGGGAAGGCCCAGACAGCCAGGAUGUUGGCUUAGAAGCAGCCAUCAUUUAAAGAAAGCGUAAUAGCUCACUGGUCGAGUCGGCCUGCGCGGAAGAUGUAACGGGGCUAAACCAUGCACCGAAGCUGCGGCAGCGACACUGUGUGUUGUUGGGUAGGGGAGCGUUCUGUAAGCCUGUGAAGGUGUGUCGUGAGGCAUGCUGGAGGUAUCAGAAGUGCGAAUGCUGACAUAAGUAACGAUAAAGCGGGUGAAAAGCCCGCUCGCCGGAAGACCAAGGGUUCCUGUCCAACGUUAAUCGGGGCAGGGUGAGUCGACCCCUAAGGCGAGGCCGAAAGGCGUAGUCGAUGGGAAACGGGUUAAUAUUCCCGUACUUGGUGUUACUGCGAAGGGGGGACGGAGAAGGCUAUGUUGGCCGGGCGACGGUUGUCCCGGUUUAAGCGUGUAGGUGUGUGUUCCAGGUAAAUCCGGUUCACUUUAACACUGAGGCGUGACGACGAGGCACUACGGUGCUGAAGCAACAAAUGCCCUGCUUCCGGAAAAGCCUCUAAGCAUCAGGUAACAUCAAAUCGUACCCCAAACCGACACAGGUGGUCAGGUAGAGAAUACCAAGGCGCUUGAGAGAACUCGGGUGAAGGAACUAGGCAAAAUGGUGCCGUAACUUCGGGAGAAGGCACGCUGACACGUAGGUGAAGUGAUUUACUCAUGGAGCUGAAGUCAGUCGAAGAUACCAGCUGGCUGCAACUGUUUAUUAAAAACACAGCACUGUGCAAACACGAAAGUGGACGUAUACGGUGUGACGCCUGCCCGGUGCCGGAAGGUUAAUUGAUGGGGUCAGCGCAAGCGAAGCUCCUGAUCGAAGCCCCGGUAAACGGCGGCCGUAACUAUAACGGUCCUAAGGUAGCGAAAUUCCUUGUCGGGUAAGUUCCGACCUGCACGAAUGGCGUAAUGAUGGCGGGCUGUCUCCACCCGAGACUCAGUGAAAUUGAACUCGCUGUGAAGAUGCAGUGUACCCGCGGCAAGACGGAAAGACCCCGUGAACCUUUACUAUAGCUUGACACUGAACAUUGAGCCUUGAUGUGUAGGAUAGGUGGGAGGCUUUGAAGUGUGGACGCCAGUCUGCAUGGAGCCGACCUUGAAAUACCACCCUUUAAUGUUUGAUGUUCUAACGUGGACCCGUUACCCGGGUUGCGGACAGUGUCUGGUGGGUAGUUUGACUGGGGCGGUCUCCUCCUAAAGAGUAACGGAGGAGCACGAAGGUUGGCUAAUCCUGGUCGGACAUCAGGAGGUUAGUGCAAUGGCAUAAGCCAGCUUGACUGCGAGCGUGACGGCGCGAGCAGGUGCGAAAGCAGGUCAUAGUGAUCCGGUGGUUCUGAAUGGAAGGGCCAUCGCUCAACGGAUAAAAGGUACUCCGGGGAUAACAGGCUGAUACCGCCCAAGAGUUCAUAUCGACGGCGGUGUUUGGCACCUCGAUGUCGGCUCAUCACAUCCUGGGGCUGAAGUAGGUCCCAAGGGUAUGGCUGUUCGCCAUUUAAAGUGGUACGCGAGCUGGGUUUAGAACGUCGUGAGACAGUUCGGUCCCUAUCUGCCGUGGGCGCUGGAGAACUGAGGGGGGCUGCUCCUAGUACGAGAGGACCGGAGUGGACGCAUCACUGGUGUUCGGGUUGUCAUGCCAAUGGCACUGCCCGGUAGCUAAAUGCGGAAGAGAUAAGUGCUGAAAGCAUCUAAGCACGAAACUUGCCCCGAGAUGAGUUCUCCCUGAGACUUAGAGUCUCCUGAAGGAACGUUGAAGACGACGACGUUGAUAGGCCGGGUGUGUAAGCGCAGCGAUGCGUUGAGCUAACCGGUACUAAUGAACCGUGAGGCUUAACCUUACAACGCCGAAG